ACCUGCCAAACCACAGUUGAGAAUAAACAAAAAGAGAAAACCACAUCAAACUAAAGUAUGCCAAACCAAACCAAGGGGAGAGAAUAUCUCUCUGCUUGUUUGGCUUUCAAGCUUUCAUUCUUUCCUCUCUGAACUUCUUCCUCAUUAGGAAAACAAAACCACAUCAAGGAAGGAAAACAUACCAAACCACUAUAUAUUCUUUAUUCCUUCUUAUUCAACCUCUGCUUUAUCCUUGGAAUAUGGUACAAAGAAAGGUUCCUGGCAAGCUUGGAAUCCAAGCUGAACAUGUUAAAUCAGACAAGAGGUUGGCAAAUAUGAAGCUAUCUUCAUCUCAGCACCAAGAUGGCAAAAGUAGAGGGGCUGAUAUGAAGAAGAAAAUGAGAAAAUCAAGGUCAAUAAACCUUUCUGAUCUUGAGGCUCUUCAAUCAUCAUCUUCAUCAUCAUCACCUUCAAAGAGAAGCUUCUCUCAACCAGGAAAGCCACCUCCUCUUCAUACUCCAACCACUGCAGC
rnacentral:lncRNA from 1 species